ensembl:snoRNA LOC120098385 small nucleolar RNA SNORA17
CUGGCUCCUAGAGGCAUUGCAGAUGUGGCUGCUGUGUCUGUCACACGCGUGACAGUAGGUGGCAGAGAAGAGAGGUUAUGUCUAUGUUCAGUCUUCUGACCUAUAAAUGUCUGAAUGAUUAGUUAGCUUAAUAUU